CUAUUACUCCCUCCGUCCCAAAAUUCUUGUCUUAGAUUUGUCUAGAUACGGAUGUACCUAAUACUAAAACGUGACUUGAUACAUCCGUAUUUAGACAAAUCUAAGACAAGAAUUUUGGGACGGAGGGAGGAGUAU
rnacentral:pre_miRNA from 1 species